rnacentral:rRNA from 1 species
GUGAAACUGCGAAUGGCUCAUUAAAUCAGUUAUCGUUUAUUUGAUAGUACCUUACUACAUGGAUACCUGUGGUAAUUCUAGAGCUAAUACAUGCUAAAAACCCCGACUUCAGGAAGGGGUGUAUUUAUUAGAUAAAAAACCAACGCCCUUCGGGGCUCCUUGGUGAAUCAUAAUAACUUAACGAAUCGCAUGGCCUUGCGCCGGCGAUGGUUCAUUCAAAUUUCUGCCCUAUCAACUUUCGAUGGUAGGAUAGUGGCCUACCAUGGUGGCAACGGGUAACGGGGAAUUAGGGUUCGAUUCCGGAGAGGGAGCCUGAGAAACGGCUACCACAUCCAAGGAAGGCAGCAGGCGCGCAAAUUACCCAAUCCCGAUACGGGGAGGUAGUGACAAUAAAUACUGAUACGGGGCUCUUUUGGGUCUCGUAAUUGGAAUGAGAACAAUUUAAAUCCCUUAACGAGGAACAAUUGGAGGGCAAGUCUGGUGCCAGCAGCCGCGGUAAUUCCAGCUCCAAUAGCGUAUAUUAAAGUUGUUGCAGUUAAAAAGCUCGUAGUUGAACCUUGGGUCUGGCUGGCCGGUCCGCCUCACCGCGAGUACUGGUCCGGCUGGACCUUUCCUUCUGGGGAACCUCAUGGCCUUCACUGGCUGUGGGGGGAACCAGGACUUUUACUGUGAAAAAAUUAGAGUGUUCAAAGCAGGCCUUUGCUCGAAUACAUUAGCAUGGAAUAAUAGAAUAGGACGUGUGGUUCUAUUUUGUUGGUUUCUAGGACCGCCGUAAUGAUUAAUAGGGAUAGUCGGGGGCGUCAGUAUUCAGCUGUCAGAGGUGAAAUUCUUGGAUUUGCUGAAGACUAACUACUGCGAAAGCAUUCGCCAAGGAUGUUUUCAUUAAUCAGGGAACGAAAGUUAGGGGAUCGAAGACGAUCAGAUACCGUCGUAGUCUUAACCAUAAACUAUGCCGACUAGGGAUCGGACGGGAUUCUAUAAUGACCCGUUCGGCACCUUACGAGAAA